AGAGCUCCAUAUUCAAACACACCAUCACAACCAUACACUCACAGGACAGCUACUGUAUGUACAGGAUAUACAACAACAUCAACACAGAGCUCCAUAUUCAAACACACCAUCACAAUCCCUUGGCAAAAAACCACAAGGCAUAUGGAGAGAAAAACUUCAAAUAUAUCCUCUCCCCUCCCUCUCAUCAGACUCCCCAAUAAGCGGCGAAAGUCCUUUUGGCUUGUCAUGAUCGCUAUUAAAGGAUAAUAAAAUUAAUCGUUUUUUACAAUUGGGUGGCAGUCCACAAAGCUACAGAAUACUAAAAUGAUCAUAUUUGAGACAAACACUGAACUGUUUUUGAAACACAUUUUGAAAAUAAAGCCAGAAAGUUAUUGCGAGAACUUUAGGAAUGUGCUGCCAUUUAUGAUUUAUUCACAUAUCGUCCAACCCAAUUAGAUCAGUAGUUUAAUGAGAAACAGCUGAACGCCUACCAAACACAGAACACACAAUCAAACAUUCAAAGAUGCUAUAGCUAACUAUCCAGCUAAAAUCACAUAUAAAUGCUAACAAUCACAGGAGGUUGGUAAUUGGAGAGGACAGGCUCGUGGUAAGGGCUGGAGAAGAUUUUGAUACCAUUCCAACAAUACAUCAGACACAAGGUUUCCAGGUGUUUGAUACCAUUCCAACAAUACAUCAGACACAAGGUUUCCAGGUGUUUGAUACCAUUCCAACAAUACAUCAGACACAAGGUUUCCAGGUGUUUGAUACCAUUCCAACAAUACAUCAGACACAAGGUUUCCAGGUGUUUGAUACCAUUCCAACAAUACAUCAGACAAAAGGUUUCCAGGUGUUUGAUACCAUUUCAACAAUACAUCAGACACAAG
ensembl:lncRNA